rnacentral:rRNA from 1 species
AAGAACCUGAAACCGUGUACGUACAAGCAGUGGGAGCCCCACCACUAAGCCAGUGGUGAACUCCACAUACGCAUCCUUUGCUGAGGAUACGGUUAACGGAGCGAAAGCGACGUUCAACCGCAAAAGAAGCAGAGGGGGCUUAGUGGUGGGGUGACUGCGUACCUUUUGUAUAAUGGGUCAGCGACUUAUAUUCUGUAGCAAGGUUAACCGAAUAGGGGAGCCGGAGGGAAACCGAGUCUUAACCGGGCGUUAAGUUGCAGGGUAUAGACCCGAAACCCGGUGAUCUAGCCAUGGGCAGGUUGAAGGUUGGGUAACACUAACUGGAGGACCGAACCGACUAAUGUUGAAAAAUUAGCGGAUGACCUGUGGCUGGGGGUGAAAGGCCAAUCAAACCGGGAGAUAGCUGGUUCUCCCCGAAAGCUAUUUAGGUAGCGCCUCGUGAAUUCAUCUCCGGGGGUAGAGCACUGUUUCGGCUAGGGGGCCAUCCCGGCUUACCAACCCGAUGCAAACUGCGAAUACCGGAGAAUGUUAUCACGGGAGACACACGGCGGGUGCUAACGUCCGUCGUGAAGAGGGAAACAACCCAGACCGCCAGCUAAGGUCCCAAAGUCAUGGUUAAGUGGGAAACGAUGUGGGAAGGCCCAGACAGCCAGGAUGUUGGCUUAGAAGCAGCCAUCAUUUAAAGAAAGCGUAAUAGCUCACUGGUCGAGUCGGCCUGCGCGGAAGAUGUAACGGGGCUAAACCAUGCACCGAAGCUGCGGCAGCGACGCUUAUGCGUUGUUGGGUAGGGGAGCGUUCUGUAAGCCUGUGAAGGUGGCCUGUGAGGGUUGCUGGAGGUAUCAGAAGUGCGAAUGCUGACAUAAGUAACGAUAAAGCGGGUGAAAAGCCCGCUCGCCGGAAGACCAAGGGUUCCUGUCCAACGUUAAUCGGGGCAGGGUGAGUCGACCCCUAAGGCGAGGCCGAAAGGCGUAGUCGAUGGGAAACGGGUUAAUAUUCCCGUACUUGGUGUUACUGCGAAGGGGGGACGGAGAAGGCUAUGUUGGCCGGGCGACGGUUGUCCCGGUUUAAGCGUGUAGGUGUGUGUUCCAGGUAAAUCCGGUUCACUUUAACACUGAGGCGUGAUGACGAGGCACUACGGUGCUGAAGUAACAAAUGCCCUGCUUCCAGGAAAAGCCUCUAAGCAUCAGGUAACAUCAAAUCGUACCCCAAACCGACACAGGUGGUCAGGUAGAGAAUACCAAGGCGCUUGAGAGAACUCGGGUGAAGGAACUAGGCAAAAUGGUGCCGUAACUUCGGGAGAAGGCACGCUGACAC